rnacentral:rRNA from 1 species
UACGUAGGCAGCGAGCGUUGUUCGGAGUUACUGGGCGUAAAGAGUGCGUAGGCGGUGCUCCAAGUCUGGUGUGAAAUCUCCCGGCUUAACCGGGAGGGUGCGCCGGAAACUGGGGUGCUGGAGUGUGGGAGAGGUAAGCGGAAUUCCCGGUGUAGCGGUGAAAUGCGCAGAUAUCAGGAAGAACACCUAUGGCGAAGGCAGCUCUCUGGGACGGUACUGACGCUGAGACGCGAAAGCGUGGGGAGCGAACAGG